GGGCCCUUGGUGGAGGCGGUAGCCCUGCUUUGCAAGCAGGAUGUCAGGAGUUCGAAUCUCCUAGGCUCCA
rfam:Microbacterium sp. GCS4 scf_44864_4.contig_1, whole genome shotgun sequence.